AAAAUCACAAACCUCUUCAACUCCUCCCUUCCCAAUUUCUUUUAGGCGGGUUUACUCCCAGCAUCGCCGUCCAAUCCCAAACCUCUCCAUCCUUCUAAAACAGAAACCUCUCCACUUCCAAACAGCACAAAACUGUUUCCUCCCUCGUCGGUUUCCUUCACUCUGCUUUCGAACUAGUGCCAUCGUUCAAUUUCAAUGCUGCUGUCCGGUCUCUCCGUCCAAUUCUAGGUCGUCCAACACUGUCCAUACUUAUGUUGUGUCGUUUCCGAUAUGUGCAAGCAUCACCGUCUAGACCCGCU
rnacentral:lncRNA from 1 species